UUCAUUUCAUGCAAAAAAAACAAAACCCAAAUUCUCACUCUCACACACUUCACUCUCUCUUUCUCUGAAACUAAAACCUCUCACUCUCACUCUCACUCUCACGCGCUUUUUCAUCUUCUAUCAAACACUAACGGUACAUCAUUUUCUCCCUCAAUCGUUCUACAUUUUCGUUUAUGCAACAAUUUCACGUUUUUCAUCACCGAUUUUGCGGUUUUUCGUUCUCAUUUCCGUUUUUUGUUUUUCACAGUGUAGGGUUUUUGAAUCAGCUACCAUCGACGCACUGUUUCGUGUUUUCUUCUUCAGCUUGAUGAUCAACGUUUACGACUAAGUAACAUCGAUUUUGUUUGUUUAUGGUUCUGCAUUUUUCUUUCAUGCAAGCAAAGACGCCACUCUAUGUGUGUUUUGGUUCCGAUUUUUCUCUUUUUUGUUCUGAUUUUUUGUUUUGGUUUUUGUGGUUUUAGGGUUUUGUGUUCAGCUAGCUGAGAAGCUUUGAUUUACCAGAGAUUUC
rnacentral:lncRNA from 1 species